UACGAAGGGGACUAGCGUUGUUCGGAAUCACUGGGCUUAAAGCGUGCGUAGGCGGGCAGGAAAGUCAGAAGUGAAAGCCCCGGGCUUAACCCGGGAACUGCUUUUGAAACUUCCUGUCUAGAAACCGGAAGAGGUUAGCGGAAUACCCAGUGUAGAGGUGAAAUUCGCAGAUAUUGGGUGGAACACCAGUGGCGAAGGCGGCUAACUGGUCCGGUAUUGACGCUGAGGCACGAAAGCGUGGGUAGCAAACAGG
rnacentral:rRNA from 1 species